rnacentral:rRNA from 1 species
CGGGGGGGGGGGCAAGCGUUGUUCGGAAUUACUGGGCGUAAAGGGCGCGCAGGCGGCCUGGCAAGUCCUACGUGAAAUCCCACAGCUUAACUGUGGAACUGCGUGGGAUACUGCCAGGCUUGAGUCCGGGAGAGGAGAGUGGAAUUCCCAGUGUAGCGGUGAAAUGCGUAGAUAUUGGGAGGAACACCGGUGGCGAAGGCGGCUCUCUGGACCGGUACUGACGCUGAGGCGCGAAAGCUAGGGGAGCAAACGGGAUUAGAUACCCCGGUAGUCCUAGCCGUAAACUUUGAGCACUUUGUGUGGCGGGUAUCGACCCCUGCCGUGCAGAAGCUAACGCAUUAAGUGCUCCGCCUGGGGAGUACGGUCGCAAGGCUG